GAUGAAGAACGUAGCGAAAUGCGAUAAGUAAUGUGAAUUGCAGAAUUCAGUGAAUCGUCGAAUCUUUGAACGCACAUUGCGCCCGCCAGUAUUCUGGCGGGCAUGCCUGUUCGAGCGUCAUUUCAACCAUCAAGCCCCGGGCUUGUGUUGGGGACCUGCGGCUGCCGCAGGCCCUGAAAUGCAGUGGCGGGCUCGCUGUCACUCCGAGCGUAGUAGUUACAUCUCGCUCUGGGCGUGCUGCGGGUUCCGGCCGUUAAAAGCCUUAUUUACCCAAGGUUGACCUCGGAUCAGGUAGGAAGACCCGCUGAACUUAAGCAUAUCAAUAAGCGGAGGA
rnacentral:misc_RNA from 1 species